AGUAGACGUUCAGAGUUUGAUCCUGGCUCAGGACGAACGCUGGCGGCGUGCCUAACACAUGCAAGUCGAACGGAGAACUUAAGGAAUGCGACUUCGGUCAAAUGAAAUUUGUUCUUAGUGGCGGACGGGUGGGUAACACGUGAGCAACCUGCCUUUCAGAGGGGAAUAACGGCUGGAAACGGUCGCUAAUACCGCAUAACAUACACUUUAGGCAUCUUUAGUGUAUCAAAGAUUUUAUCGCUGAAAGAUGGGCUCGCGUCUGAUUAGCUAGUUGGUGAGGUAAUGGCUCACCAAGGCGACGAUCAGUAGCCGGACUGAGAGGUUGAACGGCCACAUUGGGACUGAGACACGGCCCAG
rnacentral:rRNA from 1 species